UACGGAGGGUGCUAGCGUUGUUCGGAAUUACUGGGCGUAAAGCGCGCGUAGGCGGCUUUGCAAGUUAGAGGUGAAAGCCCGGAGCUUAACUCCGGAACUGCCUUUAAAACUGCAUCGCUAGAAUCGUGGAGAGGUGAGUGGAAUUCCGAGUGUAGAGGUGAAAUUCGUAGAUAUUCGGAAGAACACCAGUGGCGAAGGCGACUCACUGGACACGUAUUGACGCUGAGGUGCGAAAGCGUGGGGAGCAAACAGG
rnacentral:rRNA from 1 species